rnacentral:lncRNA from 1 species
UUAAACUAACAAUUGAACACAACUUAUGCAUCAAAUACAGUAAUACUUUAUGCCAAGAUACUACACUUGCAGAGUUGAAAUUGUGAUAUUUAUAUCACGACGUACAUAAAGCUGCAUCAAAAAGAAAAAAUUGAAAUUCAAAACCAGCCUUUCAAAGUUCUAUCAAAAUGCCAGAAUUAGAAAGUACCAAGAGAUAAUUGAUCCAAUUUCAUAGGGUAAAAAGUAUAUGAAAAAUGAGAAAACUCACGUGUCAACUAUCUCACUAUAGACUGGAUCGAAAUAGACAAACUUGUAAGACUAUUUUGAAUCGGAUAUGGUAUUUCCUUAUAAACUUAUCUUUUCAAAUUAAAACUUCCAUAGUAUUAUACGUUACACAAACAAUAAAAAUUCCAUGUUUGUGGUAUCACUAUUUUUGGGAAGUUGCGCUAGCUAACAUAACACAGAAUCCUCUACCCCGUCAUAAGUUUAAAAGGUUUUACUACAUUCACAAAAAUGCAGAUUCAAAUGACCUCUUUGACAUGAAGAAGUGAUCAUUCCCUCCAUUUAAAUGUAUUUUUGAGGGUGGUGCUGAGAUGGCAGUGGAUAUUGGCUGUGGUUUUCUAUUUUGUGAAGAGCAGUGCAUCUCAGGUCUAUUUGGCCCUGGCAAGCCUCCAAUAUGAAGAUGAGAUUGGAAUUAUUGGAAAUUUCAGCAGAGAAACACAUAUGAUACAAAGCAGUCACAAGUGGGAUUUGCAAAAGAAACCUGCAGUUUCAUGUAAAUCCACAGAAAAUAAAUAAUGCCAACAUUGACUUGUUGGCAACGAUAUCAUCACUAUUUUUGCUAGACAGAGUUACUAUUGGAGAUUUAUUUAUGGAGCAAGGAUAUAGAUGUUAUGAGUCGCAAUUAUUCUUUUGACCGUUUAAAUGUAAAUCCAUAAACAUGGAGUAUGCCUCAUCCUUAUGAAAUUAACCAAGCAUGCAAAUAUAUUCUAAAAAAUCAUAACCAACAAAUAAUAGCUUAGCUACAUACAACCCGCAAAUCCACAACCAACAAAAAGCAUAAAUUCCCCAAAUGAUACAUACUAAAAUACUCUCAAUCAACAAAAUAAAUUUAAGUUAUAGCAUGUUCAUCAAAUGAAUAGUCAUUUUCUACAAGCACUUUAAAAAAAUAAAGACAACUCAAUAAGUGGCUUACACACUUUUGGACAACAUACCACUAAUGCAAGGGGGAGUAAAUGUUUUAGAAGAACAUGGCAACCAUGAUUCCUUAUGCCAGAAAUCUUGUAAUCUUUCAAGUUAGCACAUUUAGAAAUAUUACCUGAAAAUUCAUCUUUAAAUUCUUUAAAAAUCUGAAUGAGUCAUGGAUGUUUUUGGUUUCUAAAGAAAUUUUAAAGAAAUAUCUUGAAAUCAAUUACUCUUCCAGACCAGAGGAAAGUAAGUGUUUUUUAGACAAAUUGACUUCAUCCAGAAGAUUAUAACAAAUAGAAGCUGAGAAGAUCACGUGCAAACAUACACCUAGGACUCCAUUCCGUGAUUCAAUAAAUAGUGGUGACAAAGUUCUUAUGCACAGCGUGAUUAGAUGAUUAAGGAACAUUUACACCACAUUAAAGAAGAAGGAGAGGUGGUUACUAUUAGUGGGAGAAGUAUUCUAACCACAAUUAACCAUCUCAAAGUACAACAACAGCUCGCCAACCAGUCAACCAACCAACCAACCAGGGCAUGGACCAGUAAUACGAAACCAAGGGAUCAACAAAAUUAGAAAACAAUCAGUCAAUCUGUUGUGAGUUCCUGAUAACUAUUUGUUCUCACCAACACCUUUAACAAUUUAUAUUCAACUCUUUAGAUAAAACUGCACAACUACUGCAACUUUUAGAGAAUUAACAGUCGACAGAAAGUAUACAGAAACUCAGCAACAUAUCAGGGGAGCAGAGGAUUCGUGUAGUUUUUCAUAAAUGAUGGCAGAACUAGCUUUAUAUGCAAUAGUCAGGUUAAUAUGAUAGGGCUUAGGCUCUAAACUAAAGAACUUCCGUGUAACAUUUUCAGUUAAGGUUCAAAAAUUAUAUCUCCCAGUUAUGGUGAAAUUACAUUUUGUAAGACAAGGCUUUCUUAGAGCUCCAGUAUGCUUCACAUCUCAUCUAGCAGCAAAAUGGUCAUAAACUGUAAACUACAUGCAGCCAUUACGUGACAUAUUUUGUAUAAUGGUAGUGUUCGAGCCAGCUAGCGCGCACCUCGAUUAAUUUCACUGGGUACCACUACCUCCCAUAGGUACAGGGUAGCUCUGCCCACCAAGGCUUCGACAGAUAGAAAGAAAUUACCUAGGACUUUUGCCUCCAUGUGACAUUAGAAAUGAUGAAGAGUCAUUUUUACAAAAGUUAAUUAUCAAUCACUGAUUACUUAGAGACUAGGCUCGAUUAUGAAUUCAUUGGGAGAGAAAACAAUCAACCAGAAUUUCAUUUUAUUUUCCCCCUCACAGAUAAACUUGAAAUAUUCAUUAGAAUCUGCAAGAGAAGAGUUUGGGGAGUUAUCUCUUACCUCCAUUCCUAAUACUUCAUAUUGGAAUAAAGUGUCCAACCCUAUUUUUGCUAAUGGUAUACUGACAAGAACCUGUUACAACUAGUGAAGAACAAAAAAAAAAAGAAAAUUAAACCAACAAAGAGUUGAAGAACAUACCAAACAGUUUGACGAUGAAAAUCAGUGAUUAGAAACAUAAAUCCAAAUGGAAUAGAGUAAAUCAUCACUUUAAGCGACAAAAACCAGAAAUUGAGAAAGAUUCGAGCGGAAUUAGAGAAAAAAUUGUCAAUUUAUCCAGAGAAAAUAACGAGCGUUUUAAGGCUUUCGAGAGAUGGAUGGCUAGGUUUUGAGAUAUUAAGUAGAUUUAAUCCCUAUUAUGACGAAUUUUGUAGAAUGCAUUGUAG